AGAGUUUGAUCCUGGCUCAGGACGAACGCUGGCGGCGUGCCUAACACAUGCAAGUCGAACGGAGUGCUUGCAUCUGAUUCUUUCGGGAUGAAGAUGCAAGUAUCUCAGUGGCGAACGGGUGAGUAACGCGUGAGAAACCUGCCUUUCACAAAGGGAUAGCCUCGGGAAACUGGGAUUAAUACCAUAUAAAGUUCCAAAUUAGCAUUAAAAAGGAACCAAAGUGUAAGCGGUGAAAGAUGGUCUCGCGUCCCAUUAGCUAGUUGGUGAGAUAAAAGCUCACCAAGGCGACGAUGGGUAGCCGGCCUGAGAGGGUGACCGGCCACACUGGAACUGAGACACGGUCCAGACUCCUACGGGAGGCAGCAGUGGGGAAUAUUGCACAAUGGAGGGAACUCUGAUGCAGCGACGCCGCGUGAGCGAAGAAGGCUUUCGAGUCGUAAAGCUCUGUCCUAGGGGACGAUAAUGACGGUACCCAAGGAGGAAGCCCCGGCUAACUACGUGCCAGCAGCCGCGGUAAUACGUAGGGGGCGAGCGUUGUCCGGAAUUAUUGGGCGUAAAGGGUUCGCAGGCGGCCUAUUAAGUCAGAUGUGAAAUCCCAUGGCUUAACCAUGGUAAGCAUUUGAAACUGGAAGGCUUGAGUUAAGGAGAGGAAAGUGGAAUUCCUAGUGUAGCGGUGAAAUGCGUAGAUAUUAGGAGGAAUACCAGUGGCGAAGGCGACUUUCUGGACUUUAACUGACGCUGAGGAACGAAAGCGUGGGUAGCAAACAGGAUUAGAUACCCUGGUAGUCCACGCCGUAAACGAUGAGUGCUAGGUGUUGGGGGUCAAACCUCGGUGCCGCAGCUAACGCAUUAAGCACUCCGCCUGGGGAGUACGUACGCAAGUAUGAAACUCAAAGGAAUUGACGGGGACCCGCACAAGCAGCGGAGCAUGUGGUUUAAUUCGAAGCGACGCGAAGAACCUUACCAGGUCUUGACAUCCCUUGAUAAUCUCAGAGAUGAGACAUCUCUUCGGAGCAAGGAGACAGGUGGUGCAUGGUUGUCGUCAGCUCGUGUCGUGAGAUGUUGGGUUAAGUCCCGCAACGAGCGCAACCCUUGCCUUUAGUUGCCAUCAUUAAGUUGGGCACUCUAGAGGGACUGCCGGUGAUAAACCGGAGGAAGGUGGGGAUGACGUCAAAUCAUCAUGCCCCUUAUGUCCUGGGCUACACACGUGCUACAAUGGUCUGUACAGAGGGAAGCGAAGCAGUGAUGUGAAGCGAAUCCCAGAAAACAGAUCUCAGUUCGGAUUGUAGGCUGCAACUCGCCUACAUGAAGCUGGAAUCGCUAGUAAUCGCAGGUCAGCAUACUGCGGUGAAUACGUUCCCGGGCCUUGCACACACCGCCCGU
rnacentral:rRNA from 1 species